AUGAAAUAAUUGGAUAUUUGUUUUUAAAAAAAGGAAGGGUGAAAAAUAAAUGGUAAAGGUCCAUGUGCGCUUAAUCAUUUCCCUUUGGUUGCGCAUCGUUCCUAUUAGAGUUUCUAUAGAUAUGUAUGCGUGUUGUGUACGCGCAAGUGUACUGUCUCUGGUAAUACACAUUUCUUCGAUUCGUAAAAAGGGGAGUCUUGUUAGGAGGUACUGCGCAGUGAAGCUGUUGUUUUUUAACGAGUUGUAAUAAAAAAAAAAACAAGGGCAAUAAUAAUCGCCUCCUUGUGUGUGUUUCGCGCUUGGUAGUGUAAACGCCGGUAAUGAGUGUUUAUACUGGAACGACUGUAGCGAUAUCGACGACGACGACGGGGACGACGACGACGACGACGGCAACGGCAACGGCAACAGCAACGGCAACGACAACGACGACGACGACAACGACAACGGCGACGACAACGACAGCAACAACGACAACGACAACAACAACGACAACGACGACGGCUACAGCUUCCGCGUCGGCGGUUCUACUGUCGCCAGAUUCCGCCAACGGUUGGAUUGAAUUUUGUGAAAGACACGCCCGUGCCUCGGCCUCUGACUUUGCCAAGGCUUUCUGCACUUAUGUCAGCCUAAAUCUACCUGAAAGUGCAAGAUCAACUUUAUCUCAUCGUGAUUUUCUCAGAAAGUUUGUCGAUAGUUUCUGCGAACACUUUGAGAGCGAAUACUUGCGUCGUACUGUUAGAUCACUAACUGCAUAUGAUGUUCGACAAACAGCAUUCACUGAAAGAGAUCCAAAUGCCAUAUCUCAAAAUAACAAUGCUCCGAUUCGUGCUUCGUCGCAUGAAGAAUUUAGCGAUUACUCUGAACACGAUGGUGAAACGGUAUCACCUAAGCCAGUUCACAAACCUUUCUUUCGCAGAUUGUCGUUUAAAGGACUUAAAAAAGGAAAGAGUUUCUUUCACAAACAACAGAGCGACGAAGUAGAAUUGUCUCAUAGUGAACACCGUAGAGAUAAACAUUCGAAAACUAAACUUUCUAAAAUUGUUGUUGAAUGUAGAAAGGAGGGUAUUGUUAAUUCUUUGAUGGGGGAAUACAUAGAUGGAACUCAAAAAUGGGAGAAAUCUAGAUUAGCAUUGAUAAAAGCAAUCGGAGGUUAUAUGCUAGAAUUUUAUUCUCCUCCCAAAGCAGUCAAACCGCGCAGCGGCGUUUUUUGUUCCGCAAUAACUGAAGCCAGAGAAACCACAGCACUUGAAAUGCCAGAUCAUGAAAACACAUUUGUUUUGAAAACACAAAAUAUGGAAUUUGUAAUAGAAGCUCAUGAUUCUAAUGAUAUGAGAUCUUGGCUGGCUACUAUUAAAUACUGCAUGCGUACUGUACAGCAAAAUUCUACCACGCCUGUCUCUGGUACACGAGAUUCAAUAGCAGAUUCCUUAGGACAUGCUUCUACUAUUGGAAUUAGUAGCGAAGGCGAUAGACUGAGGGCCAAUUCGGCAAGUAAAGGUUCCCGAAUAACAUCUCACGAGCCAACUACAGAGGAAGCAUUAUCCAAUCCACCGGAAUUGCCUCCAAGAUUACGUAUGCAAAGUAGCAGUAAUUUGGAAUUAUGCUCGUCGCAGCAAGAAAUUGAACAAUUAGCUGCAAAUGAUGGUGAGCUAGAUUUAUCGAGUAGCUUACGAGAGUAUCCUUGGUUUCAUGGUACACUGCCACGUUCAGAUGCAGCACAGCUUGUUUUGCACAGUUCUGCUAAUGGCCACGGUGUUUUUCUUGUUCGCCAAAGUGAAACACGAAAAGGAGAAUUUGUAUUAACAUUUAACUUUCAGGGAAGAGCGAAGCAUUUACGCAUGACAUUGAACGAUCAAGGCCAUUGUCGUGUCCAACAUCUUUGUUUUCCGGCGAUAUACGAUAUGUUAGAACAUUUUCGUCAAAAUGCCAUACCUCUUGAAUCUGGUGGAACUGCAGAUGUUACUCUAACAGAAUUCGUGGUGGCUAAUCCUGCUUAUCGAACGGCGCAUCACCAUAUGAUAGGCGUAAUGCAACAGUCGCAAGAAAGAAGACCUCCGGUAGCUCCAGAGCCCAGAGAAGUAAGAGUCAGCAGUGGAAGUCUAACUCCUCUUGAAUGAGCGCGAGUGGCCAACACCCACAGUCUGAAGUCUGAUUUACAGACAGAAAUGACAGUGGGGCAAAAAAGCUCGCUUUUUCAUACGAUGGUGUAUUCUUAAAGCUUCUGGUACACACAUAUGGAGGUUCUAUAAGAACACGUACUGAGUCCUUGGAAAGACUGGAACAACUACAUAACAUUGCAGAGCAACUAGGUUCAACGUCGACCACUGGCAGAGCGGUUCAAAAUACGUAUAGUUUUCUCUGACGAUGGAUACAUUAUAAUUUUUAUCAUUA
rnacentral:misc_RNA from 1 species